rnacentral:rRNA from 1 species
GCAUAUCAAUAAGCGGAGGAAAAGAAACCAACAGGGAUUGCCUCAGUAACGGCGAGUGAAGCGGCAAAAGCUCAAAUUUGGAAUCUAGCACCUUCGGUGUUCGAGUUGUAAUUUGAAGAUGGUAACCUUGGGUUUGGCUCUUGUCUAUGUUCCUUGGAACAGGACGUCAUAGAGGGUGAGAAUCCCGUCUGAUGAGAUGCCCAUUCCUAUGUAAGGUGCUAUCGAAGAGUCGAGUUGUUUGGGAAUGCAGCUCUAAGUGGGUGGUAAAUUCCAUCUAAAGCUAAAUAUUGGCGAGAGACCGAUAGCGAACAAGUACAGUGAUGGAAAGAUGAAAAGAACUUUGAAAAGAGAGUGAAAAAGUGCGUGAAAUUGUUGAAAGGGAAGGGCAUUAGAUCAGACUUGGUGUUUUACGAUUAUCUUCUCUUCUUGAGUUGUGCACUCGUAUUUCACUGGGCCAGCAUCGAUUCGGAUGGCAAGAUAAUGGCAGUUGAAUGUGGCUUCACUUCGGUGGAGUGUUAUAGCUUCUGCUGAUAUUGCCUGUCUGGAUCGAGGGCUGCGUCUUUUGACUAGGAUGCUGGCGUAAUGAUCUAAUGUGGUCCGUCUUGAAACACGGACC